CACGUAGGGCGCAAGCGUUGUCCGGAAUUAUUGGGCGUAAAGAGCUCGUAGGCGGUCUGUUGCGUCCGCUGUGAAAACUCAGGGCUUAACCCCGAGCCUGCAGUGGAUACGGGCAGACUAGAGGUAGGUAGGGGAGAAUGGAAUUCCCGGUGUAGCGGUGAAAUGCGCAGAUAUCAGGAGGAACACCGAUGGCGAAGGCAGGUCUCUGGGCCGAUACUGACGCUGAGGAGCGAAAGCGUGGGGAGCGAACAGG
rnacentral:rRNA from 1 species